rnacentral:rRNA from 1 species
UACGUAGGGGGCUAGCGUUGUCCGGAAUCAUUGGGCGUAAAGCGCGUGUAGGCGGCUCGAUAAGUCCGCUCUGAAAGCCCGGGGCUCAACCCUGGAAAGCCGGUGGAUACUGUCGGGCUAGAGUCCGGAAGAGGCGAGUGGAAUCCUGGUGUAGCGGUGGAAUGCGCAGAUAUCAGGAGGAACACCGAUAGCGAAGGCAGCUCGCUGGGGACGGUACUGACGCUGAGGCGCGAAAGCGUGGGGAGCAAACAGG